ensembl:lncRNA
GACUUUGAUAUGCUCUCUGUGCCUGGAUUGGACCAUCACCAAGACCAGCAAUGACUCCCUCUUAAAGGCAAACAAACAAUGUCAUGCUACCAAUGUUUUGAGUUCAAAACUCAGGGAAAAGGUCCUCUUCAACUUCCGAAAGUGGAUUAAAUGGACCAAAUGCAGUUCCUGCUUCUCCUGAAUGGAGCAAGCCUGGCUCACAGAUGGGACAGACCAGAGUGCUGGGGAGAUAAUGCCUCCAGGAACAGACUGCAACCAGUAAAGGAUGGGAGUCAUUGAAUAAAUAUCCCAGGAAACUGGUUACACGGCUUCUUCGAUGCCCUGGAAGCACCGAGCUCUAAUUCCCCAGGGUGGUAACCUGUUUGUGAAAGCACCCUUUACUAGCUUCCAGCCAUCGUCUCACCCCUCAUCACCCACAGACCUAUUUAACUAUCUCUCCUUCCUGGUACCUCUGCAGUCAC